UACAGAGGUCUCAAGCGUUGUUCGGAUUCAUUGGGCGUAAAGGGUGUGUAGGUGGCGCGCUAAGUCGGGUGUGAAAUUUCGGAGCUCAACUCCGAAACUGCAUUCAAUACUGCCUUGCUGGAGUACUGGAGAGGAGAUUGGAAUUUACGGUGUAGCAGUGAAAUGCGUAGAUAUCGUAAGGAAGACCAGUGGCGAAGGCGGGUCUCUGGACAGUUCCUGACACUGAGACACGAAGGCCAGGGGAGCAAACGGG
rnacentral:rRNA from 1 species